AGCGUACACGGUGGAUGCCCUGGCAGUCAGAGGCGAUGAAGGACGUGCUAAUCUGCGAUAAGCGUCGGUGAGGUGAUAUGAACCGUUAUAACCGGCGAUUUCCGAAUGGGGAAACCCAGUGUGAUUCGUCACACUAUCAUUAACUGAAUCCAUAGGUUAAUGAGGCGAACCGGGGGAACUGAAACAUCUAAGUACCCCGAGGAAAAGAAAUCAACCGAGAUUCCCCCAGUAGCGGCGAGCGAACGGGGAGGAGCCCAGAGCCUGAAUCAGUGUGUGUGUUAGUGGAAGCGUCUGGAAAGGCGCGCGAUACAGGGUGACAGCCCCGUACACAAAAAUGCACAUGCUGUGAGCUCGAUGAGUAGGGCGGGACACGUGGUAUCCUGUCUGAAUAUGGGGGGACCAUCCUCCAAGGCUAAAUACUCCUGACUGACCGAUAGUGAACCAGUACCGUGAGGGAAAGGCGAAAAGAACCCCGGCGAGGGGAGUGAAAAAGAACCUGAAACCGUGUACGUACAAGCAGUGGGAGCCUCUUAAUGGGGUGACUGCGUACCUUUUGUAUAAUGGGUCAGCGACUUAUAUUCUGUAGCAAGGUUAACCGAAUAGGGGAGCCGAAGGGAAACCGAGUCUUAACUGGGCGUUAAGUUGCAGGGUAUAGACCCGAAACCCGGUGAUCUAGCCAUGGGCAGGUUGAAGGUUGGGUAACACUAACUGGAGGACCGAACCGACUAAUGUUGAAAAAUUAGCGGAUGACUUGUGGCUGGGGGUGAAAGGCCAAUCAAACCGGGAGAUAGCUGGUUCUCCCCGAAAGCUAUUUAGGUAGCGCCUCGUGAAUUCAUCUCCGGGGGUAGAGCACUGUUUCGGCAAGGGGGUCAUCCCGACUUACCAACCCGAUGCAAACUGCGAAUACCGGAGAAUGUUAUCACGGGAGACACACGGCGGGUGCUAACGUCCGUCGUGAAGAGGGAAACAACCCAGACCGCCAGCUAAGGUCCCAAAGUCAUGGUUAAGUGGGAAACGAUGUGGGAAGGCCCAGACAGCCAGGAUGUUGGCUUAGAAGCAGCCAUCAUUUAAAGAAAGCGUAAUAGCUCACUGGUCGAGUCGGCCUGCGCGGAAGAUGUAACGGGGCUAAACCAUGCACCGAAGCUGCGGCAGCGACACUAUGUGUUGUUGGGUAGGGGAGCGUUCUGUAAGCCUGUGAAGGUGGCCUGUGAGGGUUGCUGGAGGUAUCAGAAGUGCGAAUGCUGACAUAAGUAACGAUAAAGCGGGUGAAAAGCCCGCUCGCCGGAAGACCAAGGGUUCCUGUCCAACGUUAAUCGGGGCAGGGUGAGUCGACCCCUAAGGCGAGGCCGAAAGGCGUAGUCGAUGGGAAACAGGUUAAUAUUCCUGUACUUGGUGUUACUGCGAAGGGGGGACGGAGAAGGCUAUGUUGGCCGGGCGACGGUUGUCCCGGUUUAAGCGUGUAGGCUGGUUUUCCAGGCAAAUCCGGAAAACCAAGGCUGAGGCGUGAUGACGAGGCACUACGGUGCUGAAGUGACAAAUGCCCUGCUUCCAGGAAAAGCCUCUAAGCAUCAGGUAACAUCAAAUCGUACCCCAAACCGACACAGGUGGUCAGGUAGAGAAUACCAAGGCGCUUGAGAGAACUCGGGUGAAGGAACUAGGCAAAAUGGUGCCGUAACUUCGGGAGAAGGCACGCUGAUAUGUAGGUGAAGCGACUUGCUCGUGGAGCUGAAAUCAGUCGAAGAUACCAGCUGGCUGCAACUGUUUAUUAAAAACACAGCACUGUGCAAACACGAAAGUGGACGUAUACGGUGUGACGCCUGCCCGGUGCCGGAAGGUUAAUUGAUGGGGUUAGCGGUAACGCGAAGCUCUUGAUCGAAGCCCCGGUAAACGGCGGCCGUAACUAUAACGGUCCUAAGGUAGCGAAAUUCCUUGUCGGGUAAGUUCCGACCUGCACGAAUGGCGUAAUGAUGGCCAGGCUGUCUCCACCCGAGACUCAGUGAAAUUGAACUCGCUGUGAAGAUGCAGUGUACCCGCGGCAAGACGGAAAGACCCCGUGAACCUUUACUAUAGCUUGACACUGAACAUUGAGCCUUGAUGUGUAGGAUAGGUGGGAGGCUUUGAAGUGUGGACGCCAGUCUGCAUGGAGCCGACCUUGAAAUACCACCCUUUAAUGUUUGAUGUUCUAACGUUGGCCCCUAAUCGGGGUUGCGGACAGUGUCUGGUGGGUAGUUUGACUGGGGCGGUCUCCUCCUAAAGAGUAACGGAGGAGCACGAAGGUUGGCUAAUCCUGGUCGGACAUCAGGAGGUUAGUGCAAUGGCAUAAGCCAGCUUGACUGCGAGCGUGACGGCGCGAGCAGGUGCGAAAGCAGGUCAUAGUGAUCCGGUGGUUCUGAAUGGAAGGGCCAUCGCUCAACGGAUAAAAGGUACUCCGGGGAUAACAGGCUGAUACCGCCCAAGAGUUCAUAUCGACGGCGGUGUUUGGCACCUCGAUGUCGGCUCAUCACAUCCUGGGGCUGAAGUAGGUCCCAAGGGUAUGGCUGUUCGCCAUUUAAAGUGGUACGCGAGCUGGGUUUAGAACGUCGUGAGACAGUUCGGUCCCUAUCUGCCGUGGGCGCUGGAGAACUGAGGGGGGCUGCUCCUAGUACGAGAGGACCGGAGUGGACGCAUCACUGGUGUUCGGGUUGUCAUGCCAAUGGCACUGCCCGGUAGCUAAAUGCGGAAGAGAUAAGUGCUGAAAGCAUCUAAGCACGAAACUUGCCCCGAGAUGAGUUCU
rnacentral:rRNA from 1 species